rnacentral:lncRNA from 12 species
GAAAGCAAGAGACAGCGAGAGGAUGUGAUUCAAGGGUAAAGCAAGUUGAAGGUUACCGUCUAUCUACUUUCUUGUUUCUUCCACACAUCUUCAUCUUACAUCCAAGCCAGCCCAGAUCUUUCCCUGCUAUGUGUGGUUCUUCUAGGUGAUCCAGAGAUUCAUCUAUCUACUGAGGAGGAAGGAUGUACCCCUGCUGAAUGAAUGACCUUCCCAUGGUACCUUCAUUCAGAGUCACUGAGAAAAAAGGGU